GGCGCCGACCUGGUGAAGGUCGACGCC
rfam:Couchioplanes caeruleus subsp. caeruleus strain DSM 43634 Cont104, whole genome shotgun sequence.